GUGAUGGUUACAAGUGGUGUCUGGAACACAUUAGCUACACCAGCAACAGGUGAUGGCUACAAGUGGUGUCUCGAACACAUUAGCUACACCAACAACAGGUGAUGGCUACAAGUGGUGUCUGGAACACAUUAGCUACACCAACAACAGGUGAUGGUUACAAGUGGAGACGGGAACACAUUAGCUACACCAGCAACAGGUGAUGGUUACAAGUGGAGACGGGAACACAUUAGCUACACCAGCAACAGGUGAUGGUUACAAGCUGGGUCGGGAACACAUUAGCUACACCAACAACAGGUGAUGGUUACGAGUGGAGACUGGAACACAUUAGCUACACCAACAACAGGUGAUGGUUACAAGUUGAAUUUCAGAUUGAAACGUUUAUCUCCAUCCUAUUAAGACAAGUACUCUAAACCCCUUCCCUACCACAGGAUUGGAACACCUCUCUUGCCGGUAAUCUGGGCACAUAUUAGACCACAGAUGAACAUUAGAAAAGACUGUUAUCUACAAAAAUAGUUGGGUGUAGGGGCAGAUGAUGCGAGACAGUGUAUUGUAUGUCUGACUGUACGUAGUAAAGCGAGUUGAUUACCAUAGAGCUCCUUGUUUCAAUCUUUUGGUCGAGUUUUUCAAUCCGACUUAUUCUUUUUUAAGAUCUCUCUUUCCGGUAAUCAAGCACAGAAAUCCUCUUGUUCUUGAGCUGGGAAUCAUCAAUCAGUCCAACACAAUCUGGACACAUAUUAGAGCACAGAUGAACAUUAGAAAGUACGGUGUUCUAUUAUCGUUUAGCUAGGAAAAUAGGGAAGUGUAUGGAGAGAUGUAUUGUAUGUCUGGCAGUUCCCAGUAAGCCGAGUUGAUUACCAUAGCGCCCCUUGUUUCAAUCUUUUGGUCGAGUUUUUCAAAAGACGACUUAUUGGUGGCGAAUGCUGCCAGUGUGUGUAUCAUAACACGAAGGUACAAUACACUGGGUAAUCUAUAAAAACCAAAGCUUGAAGGUCAGUCGAGAUAUGUUCUGGACAAAUGACUUGUAC